UAGAUUUUUGUGGAAAUUAUGUGUUUUAUGAAGAUUGGUACUAUUAUUAAGUUGGCUGAGCCUUCAAACGAGAAUCAUGAACGAGAGCUUCUUCGUCUUCUUCUAGCAUCAUAGCAAUGGAAAUCGGAAUUGAUUAUUGGAUAACGGUGAAACGGUUCGAAGAACGGUUAUGGAAAAUUGAACGGUAAUAGAGUAAUAGAGAGAACAUGGUUAUGCAGCACUCAAGUGAGGGGGUCUCAAAGUUACCUAUGGUUAUGGAGAAUUGUACGGAUCGAACUUUUCCAUUUUUUUUUCAUUUAUUUAAUUACUAUGAUGUAUAUGUGGCUUUUUCAUGGGUGCCUCAAAGUUGCAUAAGGGAGUAAAGUUAGAGGGUUGGAAAGUGGGUUUUUUUAAUAGGGGAUCAAAAUCGCAACUAUUGCAAGUUAUUUUAUUUUAGGAACAAAUAUUUGAAAGAUGGAGUCUUGGAGCAAAAGAAAGGAGAAUUUGAGCUAAUUCGUGCCAAAAAUAUGAAGAUCUGAUACAAAAAUAUCUUGUGCAAAUAAUUUGAAGAUCUUGUGCAAAAAUAUAACAAGUGGCGGGCCCCUUUUACCCUUUUGCUGCUUUUGCUUCUUCGACAAAGCUGCCUAUUUUAGUAUUUCAGACCUAGAGCCUAUGGUUUCUUGUGCAACACUUUAGUGAUUUAAUUCUUAGGGCUCAAGUCAAUGUUAGACUAUAAAUAGAUCAGUCCCCUAGUUUGUAAAACCAUCUUUUGUUCUUGAAAUAAUAAGUGACAAUUGUUUUCAAUAAAAAGAUCAACCUUUAUUUUAUGUUCUUCUUCUUCUUCUUCUCUUCUAUGUCUACAAUGAACGUGAGUGAGUAGACUCUUCUUGUCUUGGGAUUGUUGGAUAAGUCUAAUGACGUAAUCCUAAUCAAACCAAACCAUAAACCCUAAUUUUAUAUAAAUCCACUUUCUAAUCUAAUUUCACCGUUUUGAUAAUGAAUUAACAAAUACCAAACUCAUAAAGCGAACGCGGAGGGAUAGUAUUUGUUAAUUCAUCAUCACAAAUAUCAAUUCAUAAAAGCGAACACGGAGCUUUGAUAUUGGAACAAGUGAAAUUAGACAAGGAUUGCGAAAUAUGAGAAUAGUCUAGCAAACCUUGAGAAACAUAAAGUUUUGUUCUUCAAGGAUUCUAAUAACAAUCAACCAUGAGAAUAGGCGUGGUUGCUAGAGGAACACACUCAAUGAUUUUGAGAGAAACUUUGAUACGCUUAAGAGAAACUUGUCUUUAGAAAGUAGGUCCAAUAUAAAGUUUAGGUUUAGGGUUUGUUUGUGAAGGAAUUGUCACUAUGACGAACCAAUAAUCCCAAGGCGCUAUUAUUUUAUUAUUAUUAUUUUCUUUUAAUUAAACAAAAAUACAACUUUCUACCUUCUAAACUUUCAAUCUAAUCAUUGUUAAAAGUUAAUUGAAUUCAUAACUCCCUGUCGGAACGAUACUCUUUUUAUUACUUCGAUAGAACCGUGCACUUGCGGUUUUACUCAUCACCCCUGAAGUUGAGGAACACUUGGUAUGUGAGUCCAUAGGAAAAGGAUGAGGUAGAGGAAGGUGAUUGAAUAACCAUAUAUAACAACUACGCAGAAAUGGAAAUAAGAAUAUAGUUCAAGAAUGAAGAAUAUAUUAAUUUGUAAAGAUUUGGCACACUUGUCUAAUCCGCACAUCUGAACCAAUAAAAGGUUUAGAAGGUUGUUCAGAAGUUUCAUCAGAACAAACCCAUAAAUCAUUGUGCAUAUCAAGAACAUGCAAGAACAUACAUGAUAUGAACAUAUCAUAUGCAAAAAAGGAUUUCAACUCUAUGGUAAUUAAAUGAUUAAUGGACUUUGAUGUUCUUGGUAUUUAACAUAUGUUCUUAAGUGAUUAACCAAAACAGGAACAAAGUAUAAAUCAAACCAAGAUUCAAGUGAUCAAAGAACAUUAAAGCUUAUGAACCCAAUAAUAGUUCAGAAGGUUAGUUAGAGUUUAGAAGGUUCGAAGAUAUUUCAGAAGGUUGUUCUAAAGGUUUAUCAAGAAUAAGCCCAUAAAUAAAUUAACAUUAUCAAGAACAUACAAGGCUCACAUGGCAUAAAAGAAAGUGCAUAAAAGUACUAUGACUUUAGAUCAAUCAAGGAUUAAAUGCAUUAAUUUGGAUAAAAUUUAAAAGGAAUAUUAUUCUAAGAAAAAUUAGGAAUAUUCUUCUAAGAAAAUCAUCAUAGAUGUUAUGCAUAGUGCACCUCAUUGAUGCCCUUCAUUCAAGUUCACUAUUAAUAUUUGAUAGCAUCAGAUGAAGAUCAUUAAGAUGAUCACAAAUAUUCUGAAGUUCAAAAGGUCGUUCAGCUACAUGUUUUAUCUGACAGAAAGGUACAAUAGGUGAAAAAGCAAAAAGCAAAAGCAAAAUGCAAGAUCAAUUCAGAUUCAAUUAUAAUUAGACACAUAAGGGAGCAUAUACGUUCAGUAAAAAUGAUUACACAAAUCAACUCUAAAUAUUCCUAAAAUCUUAAAGAGUGUGUAACAUUUCUCUCUUAUCUUUUCAAUGAUAAUCUUCUUCUUCUUUCAAACCUCCAAACCAUUGUAAGAGAAAAUCUCAUCUAGUUUUAAGGGUAUUAAAAUGUUAGUUGAGUAAAAGAAAAGAGUAGAGUCUUGUCUGACUUAGAAAGAAAAGUUGUAAGCCUAUUGAGGCUAGAUAAUACAGUUUUUGCAUGCUAAGGCUAGAUAAUACACUUUGUAAGCCUGCUGAGGCUAAGAUAAUACAGAAGGUAAAGUCCCUAGUGGUAGAAAGUGUAAGGUGCAUGAGUUGAGAAGGUUGUCUCAAGGAUCAUAGUGAACAUCUCACAGUUGUGAGGAGUGGAAUAACCCACAUUAGAUGAACCACUAUAAUUCUCGUGUGUUAUAUUCUUUACCAUUACUCUUUAUUUUUAACAUUAAUAUUUACAUUCACUUUACACACCAUUAUCCCUUUAUUUAUUGUUUAUUACACUCACACUUCUGCAUGUACUUCAGAACAUUCUGAACUUGACCUAGUUUUUAUUUAUUUCAAGUAUCUACUUGAGAAUCACUUACCACAAGUGCAAGUUAAAUUUAAAAAGGGUCAUAAUUAAACCCCCCUUAUUUUGAAUAUUAUUUCCACUUCAAAGAAAACAGAUUACAUAAUGCUAUUGUUGUUCUUGAGAAGAGAAUAAAACAAAUCAGAGAGAAAAGGACGAAGAGAAGAGGAAGGUGGCGUUGUUGUUGUGCCUGUGUUUUUUUUUUUAAUGAAUUUGUAGGUUUUUUUUUAAUAAAUUUUUUGGAUUUGUGAUAAACACCAUGAACUUAUAAGUUAAAGAAGAUGAAGAUGAUGCUGAACAUAUAUCCUAGACAAAAAAAAAAAUAAAAAAAAUAAAAAAAGAAAUUAUACAAUCACAAUGCCACAUAAUAAAAAAUGCUGACUCAGCGCGCCGCAUCACUUUAGUUACCUAGUUAGAUGAGGCCAUGGUCGAUUUAUGAAGAAUCUUGAUUUUACAAUGAUGAAAUCUACUUUUUUACUACAUGAGGUAAACUGGAAAUGACUUAUAUUACAGGGGAUAAAACACUCUUAACCCUAGAAUAUAACAUGGAAGAGUUAAAUUCUUCAAUUUAUAAAAAAUAAAAUGACAUUAGAAGUUUAAAAAGUCAAAAUUUAGAGUUGGUUAUAUUAAAGCAACAAAGAAACUCAAAUGCACAAAUAAUAUUAUAGUGUCAUAUUAAUGUACAAGAGAAAUCCAUAAAUUUCACUCACAAUACAUUAAUGAGCAAAGACGGAGUACCAUGAGUAUUGUAUGCAUACCCAGUACGUGUACUUUAACGUUUUACAAUUACUUAUACUUCAAAGUAUAUUCUGUUUAACUAAUAAAUUGUACACUUACUUGAUUUUCCUCGUAAACAUUACCAUUUAAAACAUGAGGGAAAUUGGAAAUGANNNNNNNNNNNNNNNNNNNNNNNNNNNNNNNNNNNNNNNNNNNNNNNNNNNNNNNNNNNNNNNNNNNNNNNNNNNNNNNNNNNNNNNNNNNNNNNNNNNNUCCCCUCCCCUCCCCUCUCAUCCGCUUCUAAAAAUUGAACCAAACACUUCAAAUUAAAAAUCUUCCCUCCCCUCCAAAACUCUCGAACCAAAUGAACCCUAAAGUGAUCGACUUAUAAUUUGAAACAGAGGAGUAAUACUUAUGGAUCGGAGUAAAGAGUGCAGUGAGUGAAUUGAUGUAAAAUUUAGUUUUUUUCAUGCUAUAAUAUCUAUAAUGACUAUCGGGGUGCUAUUGUUAUUGACAAACUAGUUUACAAUGAAAACAAAUAUUACAAUGGAAACAAAUAUUACAAUGUUUGUGUAAUACACAAAAUUAUCAACCUAUUCGUCCUUCCUCAUGAUGCCCCUAAAGUCAACCUUCAUCCAGUAGAACUACAAUUUGAAGCUUACUGUUUGAUUUUUGAGUUACUGAUUCACAUUUAAUUUCCAUGAUAUUAUUGACGAUUGGUCAAACAUAAAAUAAAACUACAUUUUAAUUGACUUGUUUUAUUUAUUUAUUUAAGUUUUCUCGUUGUUUUAUUGUUUGAAUGGUAACCACAUUUAAGAUAUCAGCAAGAAGAGGUGGUAGUGCAACGAUAUCUACUCUGUGAUUGGUCCACACGCUAUAGGAUGUUGCAAGGAAGUUUCACUUACUACUUUUGUCAUUAGUUUUCUCCUUGUUUUAAAGAAUCCACCUAACAGACCACACAAAUUACUCAUUCAUAUUCUCCAUUUUCAAAGUCUUUUUUCAUCCAUAUUCUUUCAAUUCUCAUGGCUAUGCAAUCACCUUCCCGAGUGUUCCUCAGUUUCAGGGGCAGUGACACUCGCAACAAAUUUACCGGUAAUCUCUAUAAGGCUCUUGUUGACAAGGGAAUUCGUACUUUCAUUGAUGAUAAUGAUCUUGAAAGAGGAGAUGAAAUCACACCAUCACUUGUCAAGGCCAUUGAAGAAUCUAGGAUUUUUAUUCCCAUAUUUUCUGCCAACUAUGCAUCUUCUUCAUUUUGUUUGGACGAACUUGUCCACAUCAUUCACUGCUACAAGACAAAGAGUUGCUUAGUAUUUCCCGUUUUCUAUGAUGUGGAACCUACUCACAUACGAAAUCAGAGUGGGAUUUAUGGUGAGCAUCUUACUAAGCAUGAAGAGAGGUUUCAAAAUAACGAGAAAAACAUGGAGCGAUUGCGUCAAUGGAAGAUAGCUCUUAUCCAAGCUGCUAACUUGUCCGGCUAUCAUUAUAGUCCUCAUGGGUACCCCACUUUACUUAAAACUUGUUUUUCCUUUCUAUAUUUUAUUUCAUUAAUUUUUAUGCCUAAAUAAUCUACUCUCAAAGCUUAAAUAGGAACACAUUUUCUAUUAAUGUUUUUAAAACAAGUGUAAGUUAUUUAUAUGUCAAAAAAGUUAGAAUUGCAUAAUAUAUUCUCAAUACAUGGAUGUGAUUUUGAUUUUAGUGUAUUUUCUAAUUUAUCUUAUUGGACAUGAAUAGAUAUGAAUACAAGUUUAUUGAGAAGAUAGUCGAAGACAUCUCCAACAAUAUCAAUCAUGUUUUUUUAAAUGUAGCCAAAUACCCUGUUGGAUUACAGUCCCGAAUAGAAGAAGUGAAAUUGCUUCUUGACAUGGGCUCUGAGGAUGAGGUCCGCAUGGUAGGACUUUUUGGUACUGGAGGCAUGGGUAAAUCAACACUUGCAAAAGCAGUUUAUAAUUUUGUUGCUGAUCAAUUUGAAGGUGUAUGUUUUCUUCAUAAUGUCAGAGAGAAUUCAAGUCAUAAUAACCUGAAACAUCUCCAGGAAGAUCUCCUUUUAAGAACAGUUAAAUUGAACCAUAAGUUAGGAGAUGUUAGUGAGGGAAUUUCAAUCAUUAAGGAAAGACUAUCUAGAAAGAAGAUUCUUUUGAUUCUUGAUGAUGUUGACAAACUGGAGCAGCUAGAGGCUUUGGCUGGAGGACUUGAUUGGUUCGGUCAUGGAAGCAGGGUCAUCAUUACCACUCGUGAUAAACACUUACUAGCCUGUCAUGGGAUUACAAGUACACAUGCAGUAGAAGAAUUGAAUGAGACAGAAGCUCUUGAAUUGUUGAGGCGAAUGGCUUUUAAAAAUGACAAAGUUCCUUCAAGUUAUGAAGAAAUUUUAAACCGUGUAGUUACUUAUGCAUCUGGCCUGCCCUUAGCAAUAGUAACAAUAGGGGGCAAUUUGUUUGGAAGGAAGGUAGAAGAUUGGGAGCGUACAUUAGACGAGUAUGAAAAUAUUCCCGAUAAAGAUAUCCAAAGGAUACUUCAAGUAAGCUAUGAUGCUUUGAAGGAAAAGGAUCAGAGUGUCUUUCUAGACAUUGCUUGUUGCUUCAAAGGGUGUGAAUGGACAAAGGUUAAAAAAAUACUUCAUGCUCAUUAUGGCCAUUGCAUAGAACAUCAUGUUGGAGUGUUGGCUGAAAAAUCUCUCAUAGGCCAUUGGGAAUAUGACACUUAUGUGACCUUACAUGACUUGAUAGAGGACAUGGGUAAAGAAAUCGUCCGACAAGAAUCUCCCAACAAGCCUGGAGAACGCAGUAGGUUGUGGUUUCCCGAUGAUAUAGUUAACGUUUUAAGAGAUAAUACAGUAAGGAAAACUAAUAUUUAUGAACAAUUUGUUGUUUUAGCUUUAGCCAUGACUUUGAUCAUCCUGCCACCUCAUACUUGUGUUUUUUAUUCACUUAAUUACAUGUAUAUUACUCUAUAUAAUAUUUGUAUUAUGAUUUAUUCUUUUUUUAUUUUGUUAAAAGGGAACUGGGAAUAUUGAAAUGAUAUAUUUAGAAUUUGACUCAACGGCAAGAGAAACAGAGUGGGAUGGAAUGGCUUGCAAGAAGAUGACAAAUCUCAAAACACUUAUCAUUGAAUAUGCUAACUUUUCAAGGGGUCCUGGGUAUCUUCCAAGUAGUUUGAGAUAUUGGAAAUGGAUAUUCUGUCCUUUGAAGUCUCUAUCUUGUAUUUCGAGCAAGGCAAGUGAAAUAAGUUCAUUUUUCAAUUGUGUAUAUUGAUAAUUCUCUAUUAGAUUAUAAUUUUAAUUUCAGCUUAUUUAUUUGUUUUUUAUGCAGGAGUUCAACUAUAUGAAAGUCUUGACAUUGAACUAUUCUCGAUAUUUAACCCAUAUACCCGAUGUCUCAGGUCUUCCAAAUCUAGAAAAGUGCUCCUUUCAAAACUGUGAAAGUUUAAUUAGAAUUCACAGUUCGAUUGGACACCUAAAUAAACUUGAAAUCUUAAAUGCAUCUGGUUGCAGCAAGCUUGAGCAUUUUCCACCCUUACAGCUGCUCUCUCUUAAGAAAUUCAAAAUCUCUCAUUGUGAGAGUCUCAAGAAAAUUACAAUUCACAACUCGAUUGGACACCUAAAUAAACUUGAAAUCUUAAAUACAUCUAAUUGCCUCAAACUUGAGCAUUUCCCACCCUUACAGCUGCCCUCUCUUAAGAAAUUUGAAAUCUCUGGUUGUGAGAGUCUCAAGAAUUUUCCAGAAUUAUUAUGUAAGAUGACAAAUAUAAAAGAUAUUGAGAUAUAUGAUACUUCCAUAGAAGAAUUGCGAUAUUCAUUUCAAAAUUUCAGUGAACUUCAACGGUUAACAAUAUCUGGAGGGGGAAAGCUCAGGUUCCCAAAAUAUAAUGAUACAAUGAAUUCAAUAGUGUUUUCAAAUGUGGAACAUGUUGACCUCAGAGACAACAACCUCUCGGAUGAAUGUCUCCCAAUACUUCUCAAGUGGUUUGUUAAUGUGACAUUUCUAGACUUAUCGGAGAACUAUUUCACAAUUCUUCCCGAGUGCCUUGGUGAAUGUCACCGUCUUAAGCAUCUUUAUUUGAAGUUUUGCGAGGCUCUUGAGGAAAUUAGAGGGAUUCCACCAAAUCUUGAAAGGCUUUGUGCAGACGAGUGUUAUUCAUUGAGUUCCUCAAGUAUAAGAAUGUUAAUGAGUCAGGUUUGUUGUUUUUUUAUUGCACUAGUAUUUGACAUAUAGUAUUUCAGUUCAUAGUGUAAUUAUUAUUCUUUUUAUAUAAACUAACAGAAACUGCAUGAGUCUGCUGGAUGCACCCAUUUUCGAUUCCCAAACAAAACGAGAAGGAUUCCUGAUUGGUUUGAGCACCAAAGCAGGGGAGGCAAAAUUGCUUUCUGGUAUCAUAAAAAACUCCCUUCUAUUAGUUUUACUUUUAUUAUUAUUUAUGAGCACUACACAACAGUCAAAUUAUUUGUGAAUGGAUAUGAAAAAGAGAUAAGUUUCGACGAAUUCACUGGGGAAUUCGGUAAGCUAGUGGAUGAUGAAACUGUGUUGGAUAACUAUACAACUUUGUUGCAUAUAAAAUUGGAAGAAGGUAAUGAACUCGGUGAAAGACUUUUGAAAAAGGAAUGGAUCCAUGUGGAGUUUAAGUUGAAGGAUCACGAGAAUAGUGUUUAUGCACAAAUGGGAAUCCACGUGUGGGGAAUUGAUCCUUCAUUAUCACAAUUUAUGCAAGAGGGAAUUGAUCCUUCAAUAUUAUAUCCUCAAAAAAAGCAAAGAUUGGUGGAAGUGGGAGUUUCAGAGAAAGGGGAGGAGGAGGAGGAGGGAUGAGAUUGAAAUAUUAAGCAGUGCGCAAGAUGAAAGAAAGAUGUUGGGUACAUUCCUUAGUCUAGGUCCAUCAUAAAGUUAACCGUCUUCUUGUUAUUCUCUCAAUCUCAACAUUGCAGGUUUGUGCUUUGUUGUAUAUACUUUGUAUAAAUGUUGAUUAAUUUCUGUAUAUAGUCAGUUACAAAUUCAUUACUGUACGUUUGGAGACAUGCAUUAGAUUAUAGAAUGAAUACCAUUUUAGAAGUACAUGUAAAUUCAUGGAGGCCAACCUCGGAUAAUGUAUUUGAAUGUUUUAUGUAGUCAAUUUAUCUGUAAGGGUUAUGAAAAAGUAGUUUUUAUAUGGUGUUUUAGUUACCUAUGAAAAUUCAAUAUUUGCAUUGUAUGUAAUUUUUAUAAUCUAUUCUGGUUUUUAUCAAAGUCAAAUGAAUUCACAAAAGCUUUCCUCAAUUUUUUCGCUAGAUCAGGUCUGAGCUUCAAUAUGCAAUCCAUCUGGAAUUUGGUAGAGUCCUAUUUGGUACUGAUGCUUGGAUCGAUGUCCCUCUCUACUACAGAACAUAGACCAAGGGCCUUAACUGGCAAUUAGUUACACACAUUCAUGGAAACAAGGGUUGAAGCAUUCGCUCGCAAGCAACUCAGGUAAUAGAAUUUAAUUUUUAAUUAAAUGGGUUUGCCAUGUCCAUUCAUCAAAAUUCAAUUGCAUAAAGAUAUAAGCAAAUAUAUUCAAUUGCAUAAUUCUUUUACAAGUUCUGACAUAUGCAGUGGGGUCACUAUCACCGUAGUUUUUGGUUGAAGUCAUAUGUUGUUUACUUGUUGGUUUUUCAAGUUCUGACAUGAUAUUAUUUUUCUUCCCAUUUCCAACUGAUCAACUACUUUACGUGCUUCAAUUUUUUUCAAUCACUGCUAAAUUUUAGUGGAGAAGAAACAAAUGAAUCUAAAAAAUUUACGAUCAACCAAAUUCUAUUUGGAGGUGAAUGUUUUUUCAUAAUCUAACUUUGUAAAUGAAUUUUAAGUGAUUUGAAAACAUGGAAUAAGGUCUUCAAUAAAUGAAUAUGUAUCAGGUGCUUUUGGUUCAGUUUUAGACUUUUAGAUGGUAGGGAUCGUUCUUUUAAAGAAAUAUCCUUGGAUACCUCCAAAGCAGUUUUCCUGGUUUUGUCGAUCUGUCUUAAGUAUAUAUGCAAGUAUCUGAAUAGUGGAUGUUACAAAAAAUUAUGUUUUGUGGGAGCACCGCUCUCUGCGGUUUUUGUUUUUAACCAAAUUGUUUCUAGUCUCCUUUAUAGUAACUCUCCUAUUUCACACUUUUCAAAGGUCUUAUAAAACAUAUUGAGAGGGAAUUUUUUUUUUAGCAUGAUCAGUGAAAGACAUAAAAUGCCCUUUGACUUUGAGGUGCCUACUGAUAGUUGAAUAAUGGCUGCAGAUGUGAAGAAUCACAACAGCAGCGUGGGUGAUUACUUCGAUCUUAUGUUGCAGUUGGAAAAGAAAUUGGAUCUGUUGAUGAAUGCAUGAUUUGGUGAAAAUGCAAAGUUGAUGUCUCCGUCCUGCUGCCACUUUCCUGCUAUCAUUAAAAGCGAAAGCAAAGUCCCAGGGGCUGUUAUGGUGGCUGUUACGAAGGCUGUGAUAGGAAUUUGCCAACAAAUCUUCUGGUCUGUUUUGUACUUUUUUUUUUGUUCCUUAUCUAAGUUUCUAUGGUCGGUCUUUUCGACUAUAAUGGAAUAAUACAUGUUUGUUUAAAGAGGGUGCUACUGCAAUGUAGUUAUUGCUUCUAGCAUGGCAUUUACUAGGCUGAUUUGGUCUUUUCGAACUCAUCCAAGGACUGCAGGAUUUGGAGGACUUGAUCGGAAUUAUGACAAAGCUUUUCAAUUUGGAUUUUAUGGAAGUAUAGGCUGGUCAAAUAUCCUUCAUGCAGAGAUUCAGGCUCUCCUUGUUGGUCACUUGAUCGGAAUGUUGUUUCUUGAAAUGAUUAAAGUUUGUACCAAAAGACUAUCGGUUUGCAACAUGUGCUCUCUAUGGCAAAAUUAUCCUAGAAGAUCAAAAUGAUUAAAUAAGAAGCUCACAUUUACUAGAAAAUAUCUUUACAAACAUAUCCAAAAUGUGCAUGCUUAUUACACAGUUCCAAGAGUAGUAACAAAACACUGUACAUUCGGUAAAGAUAAAAUAUCAUUCAUUGAUAUAUAAACCAGAUAAGUUUGCAAAUAAAGAGAUUAAAAAAUCAAUAUUGAAUUAUGAUAUGAACAAUUGAUAAGCCACUUUGUAUAUAAGGUAAUAUUCAAAAAACGAAAUUCAUAUACCUCUUGGUGAAGACAAGAAAAACAACUAGUUACUGAUUCCUCCAAGUAGAAGAAAGACUUCCUUGUAUAUUGUUAUCUGAGUACAACCCUCUUCUUUGCAACCAAGCAUCUCAAUCAAUUGGGUGCUCAAAUCAAGCCAAACUAAUUCCUUAUCUUUUCUUUUGAAAAAUAUUUCCCCCGUCACCCCAACUCUAAUUGGGCGCUCAACACAAAGCAAUGGUUCAAAUGUAAAGAGUUCGGACCACGAUUCCUUCAUACCAAUUGAUACGUGAAAAGUAGUCAUCUUUUCAUGAUAUGAGAUCAAAGCAACAUACCCAUUUAACACCACCAAGUUUACCUACUUUAAUUUAACACCAGAACAAUCAUAUAUGUUUGAGGGUAUAGGUGUUACAAAAAACACCUCACUGCUUAAGUGAAAAGAUACCAAACAUGGUCAUCUUUGGUAAACAACCAAUGACACACUCCAUCCAUGUAGACUCGGGUGCCCUCAGUACAACUCCCAAGAAGACGGCAUCUCAAUAUCAAGUUUUCUCCAUGAGUUACUUCUUAGGCUAUAUAUCUCCCAAGCAUUAAUUUCUUCCAACCAGCCUAAAGUUGUAAUUUCUUCAAGGUCAUCAGAGUAUUGAAAUGAUGGUUGUAUCAAAACUUGUACAUCCCGAAUGACCUUAUAAUCACUUAUAACAUGGUCAUAACCAAAUCCAUGAAGACAAGAAUAAAACCAAACUUCAACUAAAGCCUUAGCUUCAUCUGUGAUAGCUGACUCAAUCUCACCGGGAGGAAGGAGAUUAAAUGUUUCCGUAGCUGGGUUCCACAGUGUAAUUUUUUCAUAAUCGCCUUCUUGAUAUUCAUGAAGACAAAAAGUACCAUUAAUACUACCAAAACCAAACACAUGAAUACUAUCAUUUUCAAGAAAAGGAUUUGUGAAUUCCAGUUUGAUUUUAUUCUUGAACCUCUCACCAGAAAAAGAAUACAAAGCUUCUUUAUUGUGUUCAAUAACCUUUAGGAGGAGAGAUGCACCAUCGUAAUAAGAACAACAGUGAGAAUUGGAAAAGAAAUUCGUGCGGAACAUGUUCUUGAAGUGAUGGUUCUCAAAUAAGAGGGACCAUGAUUUUCGAAUACAUUGAAAUCGCUUAAAAGAUUUAAGCGGCAACUUUGAUAGAAUUGAAACGGCUAUAUCAUCUGAUAUAUAAGUGUUCACUUUUCCAUCUUCUGAACCCACAUAUCUCUUCUUCUCCAUCGAUUCAAGAUGAGAAGAGCUUCGAUCGUGAGUAGUGUUCAUCGCUUUGAAGAAAUUUUGAUGGUUUUAGGGUUUUUAGAUGCAAUAGUAUUUUUUAUACUUAUACAAUCUAGGGGUGGAAAAAUAGUUUAGACCUGCCCGAGACCGACCCGUCCACAAUAAAAAAAGGACAGGGCCAAACCGGGUUGGGUGGGUGUACAGGUUGAAGAUUCAGUUUAGGAUGGGUUUGUACGGUCUAUUCCGGGUGAAAUAAUUACUAGUGUGAGUAACCAUAACCGACCCGUACAUGGUGGGACAGCCAACUCACUCCUUAGAAUUGUUGGGCCAACCUAGUUAACAACACCCUUAGGCCCAAAUAAUUCAAGUCUUUCCCAACCCAACCAAAAAACACCAUAGUUCACAACACUCUUUCAAACCGUAGAAUCUUUUUCAGUUGUGCCGUUUCACCAUUUCUCUGGUUUGUCCUCCACCAGCCUCUGUCUUUCCUACUGACUAAAAUGACAUAACCUAUAACGUCUAGCAUUGUUCGACUAUUUUUGUGGAUAGUUCGUGAGUUUCCUUUGUUGAGGGGUUCGUAGCUCCCCAUUCUCGGUUACCAACUUUCCACUUCACGACAUUAUUUGUUAAGAAGGUCUGGCGCCACUAUAAAUAGGGAGUGUGAGUUUAGUGCCUCAUUGUCCAACUUGAGCUUCAACUAAGUCUGAUGUCUUCGGGACACACAUACUAGCUUACAUAGCCUUUGCUUAACCUUCCAUAAUAAAACUCGUCUAAUCUCUAAUUGUCUAUCUCCGAUUUCAACUAUCAUAAUUAUUUUUAGGUGUAAACAUAUUACACGUGUGUAUAUCUUAAUUGUAGUUUGAUUGUUAGUUAGGAAGUGUGUGAAAAAGUUGUAGAGCUAACCACUCACUUCUCUGUGCAAAUAGGAUAGAAAGCUUCAUUAUGUAACUAACUGGGUAUUAUUUUGAUCAUUGAAUAUAGAAGAUUCAGAGCACAAUGCUCACUUCAUUCUUCUUUUUUUGUGUUUUACCUUUCACAUUUCAUGUCAAAUCCUUGAUGAUUGUGUAGAACUCAAUAAAACACUGUAACAAAAAAUAAACCCCCCGGACUAAAUUUAUAAUUAACAGUUUCGAUUUUUUUUUUUUACAUAUUUGUAGCAAUAGAGAAUUAUAAUUCGUAUAUGUAACAUGAUAAAGUUUUUUCUCUCCUUUUUAUCAUUUCUUUUAAAUUUCGAAGAGUAAAUUAUUUUAAAUUCGUAUAUUUUGAAGUGUUAAUAUAGUUUAUUUCCUCUCUCUCUCACAUAUAUUCUCAGCAACAAAAAAUAUAAUAUUUAUAAACUCAUCUCUGAAUAAAAUUGACCCAUCCACCAGUUCCUUGUUACUCAAGCAAUUGAAUUUUUCUUCAUCACUCCUUUCCAAAAGUCAAUGAUCUAUGUUCUUUCCAUACUCUGUAGUAUAUUGCAACGAAAUCACCUAGAAAAGCAAAAGCAACACACCAUACCCAAAAAUCUACCAAUUUCCACCCUUUAAAAACUCACACAAACACAUAUUCACCAACCACCAAAAACCCAUCAUCAUCACAAAAAUAUUCAAAUCUCAUCAAAAUGUGUUGCAGACCUCGUUGGUUUUGGUGCUUCUAUUGCACAAUCUAUGUCGUUAUAUUCUUUUUCAUGAUUACCGCGGUCAUCUUCUGGAUAGUAAUCUCCCCCUCAAGCGUGAAAUUCCACAUAACCGAUGCUACUCUCACAGAGUUCAACAUCACAAACAACAACACCUUGUACUACAAUUUGAAAGUCAAUGUCACAGUACGAAACCCCAACAACAACAUCAUUGUUUAUUACCGAAGAAUCACUGCGAUUGCUUGGUACAAAGACAAUGGUUUUAGUUAUGUGAGUUUGACACCGUUCGAUCAAGGACACAAGAAUACAACUUUUCUUGGACCGAUUGAGUUUAAAGGAAAUACUAAGAUCAAACUUGGACGUCAACAACUUGACGAGUAUUUUGAAGAGAGGCGUCUUGGGAUUCACAAUGAUUUGGCUGUUGAUUUUGAUGUCCGAAUUAGAGCUAAGUUUGGAAGCUUUUACAAGAGUGGUCGGUUUAAUCCGCCAGUUGUGCAGUGUCGUCGUUUGAGUGUUCCUUUGGUUUCUUCUUCUAAUGGUAAUUCAUCAUCGUCACCAUCAUCAUCAACAUUUUCCUUUAGUGAUAGAAGAUGUAGCAGUGGUUCUUUCUUUACAGAUCGUGAUGCCGAUGCAGGAGCUUGAUAUGUAUAUAACAAAGUGAAUUUGUAUACCGUUUUCUUCACUCUUAUUUCAGUGUAAAUUUCAGUGUGUUAUAGUUGUAAUUUUUUCAUUUCAAUUACAUUCAAUCUACAAUGUUGUACACUUAUCGCCAAACAUAUAGAUUAUGUUUGCAAUCUGAACAUGGAUUCAAGCACUGGAUACUGAAUUAUUGGCUUUAGAAAAGAAUGGUACACGAACACCGGUUAAUCUUCGUCCUAAGAUCAAACUUAUAGGUAGUAAAUGGGUCUAUGAGAUCAAAUAUCAUUCAUAUGGUAUUAUACCAGCUUCAAUAAAAUCAACAUGUUUAUAGCUUCAAUAAAAAAAAUGUUACAUUUUUUUUCCCUAAAAAAAAUUAACAUUUAUAUAACAAUAUUUAAUUCUUAUUGAAGCUAUAGAUAUGUUGAUUUUUUAUUUUUUUUAUCUAUAGACGUGUUGAUUUUUCUAACUCCUCUUAUCUUGUGAAUAUAAUGGCAUCCACUUCUUUAUGAUGUGAAUAAAACCGUAAACCCUAAACCAAAAACUUGCCACCAUUCAUGUCAAAUAUGGACAGAGCCUCAUCACCCAGGACCUAAAUAUUGCCAACCAUUUAAAAAAAUUAAAUAUUGUCAAACAUAGUAUUAAACUUCUAGUUGCAUAGAAAUGAAUCAAUUAUUUCGGUCUUGACAUUUCAAAAACAAACAAUAUGUCAAUGUCAAACAUUCCUCUUACUUUGAAAACUAUUCAUUUUGAGAGCAAUGAUUGGUUAAUUAGUUUAUAUAAUCCGUUUCAAUAUGUCAACAUCACACAAACAUUAGUACAUUACGGCGUGUGUGUGAAUUCUACAGGUCACUAAAAUUGAAAUUAAAACAACUCUCUCUCCCCCUCUCUCCCUACUCGUCCCUCCCUCUCUCUCACACACACCAAUUAUUUGUGUGAAAAUGAAUUUGGAUCUCUUAAACAGUUCUCAAAUUUAAACUAAAGAUUAUUAAUCAACAAAAUUCGAUGGAUACUCAUAAUUUGUAACAACAUAGUUACGAAAAAACCCUCCACAUAAAUCCUGCCAAAAAACCCUUCAAGUAAGCAAAUAAAGCAAGAGCAACGAACUUUAUGUUUCCGGUUCUUUGCAAAUAUUAGCCACAAUUAAACCACGGUGUAGAAUAUCAUUGAGAGUUUUAAAUGUAAUAUAACUUGAAAAAUGUCAUAUUUUAGGUUGAACAUCUUAAAUUGAAUUCGAAUUGGGUGUUAAUUUUAGUUAGUAUUUAUCACUUCGUAUCAGGUCGAAAGGAAAAAGCGCCUCAAUCUUACAUGUCAUUUGUAUAUGAUGGAAUUAGACAUCCAAACUCUAAACCUAUUGAAUAGCUACUAAUACGAAAGUAACUAAGGCAAAAACCGCAACUGAAAAGGAACUAAAAAAUAAAAUAACUCGACAACAACAACCUUUUGUUAAACAAAACAAAUGAAGUGAAUAAUUGGGAAAUAAUUCUAAGCCAUCAAAAUUUUGAUAUCAUUUUUUUUACAAAAUUCCAGUAUGCUUUUUGAAUGUUUUACAAAAUUCAACCCAUUAGCCAUGCUUAAAAUAGCAUUGCUCUAGAAUUAAACACGUAUGAAUAAUGAUAUAUGUAUUUUUAUAUAUUCACAUAACACAAUCGUAACACAUUGGAAUUUUAUUAUGUGCAAUAUACAACAAAGUUUUAUUUUAUGCAAAUAUCUAUUAGCGCCACAACAUAUAUGUGAUGCCGAUAAAUGUACAACAAUGUAGAUUGAAUGAAAUUGAAGCUAAAAUAUACAAAGUUCAUUUUAUUAUAUACAUUUCAAGCUCCUGCAUCUGCAUCACGAUCUGUAAAGAAAGAACCACUGCUACAUCUUCUGUCUCUAAAAGAAAAUGUUGAUGAUGACGAGUUACCAUUGGAAGAAGAAAUCAAAGGAACACUCAAACGACGACAUUGUACAACCGGUGUAUUAAAUCGACCACUUUUAUAAAAGCUUCCAAACUUCGCUCUAAUUCGAACAUCAAAAUCAACAGCCAAAUCAUUGUGAAUCCCGAGACUUCUCUCUUCAAAAUACUCGUCAAGUUGUUUACGUCCUAGAUUGAUCUUAGUAUUCCCUUUAAACUCUAUAGGUCCAAAAAAUGUUGUAUUCUUGUGUCCUUGAUCAAACGGUGUCAAACUCACAUAACCAAAAUAAUUAUCUUUGUACCAAGAAAUCGCGGUGAUUCUUCGGUAAUAGACUAUGAUGUUGUUGUUGGGGUUUCGUAUUGUGACAUUGACUUUGAAAUUAUAGUAUAAGGUAUUGUUGUUUGUGAGGUUGAACUCGGUGAGAGUAGCGUCUGUUAUGUGGAAUUUCACGCUUGAGGGAGAGAUUACUAUCCAGGCGAUGAUUGAGAAAGACAUGAAGAAGAAUAUAACGGCGUAGAUUGAGUAAUAGAUGCACCAGAACCAAUGAAAUCUGCAGCACAUGGUGGUGAUGAGGUUUUUGAAUUUUUCUUGUGAUGAUUAGGUUUUGUUGUUGAUGAAUUUUAUGGUACAAAGUUGUGUGCUUUUAUAGGGUGGAAAUAGAUGGAUUUUUGGGUAUAGUGUGGUUCUUGUGAUUUUCUAGGUGAUAUCGUUGCAAUAUGUAGUACAUUAGAGAGAAGCUAGUAGCAUUGACUUUUGAAGCCUAACUCUUUCAUUUAUAGUAAUGAAAUAUAAAAUAUCAAACUAAUUGCCUAGGUGAUUACAUUGACCAUCUAUGCAAAUUAAAUCCUUACUUAGUAAAUUUAAAGAACAUAAGAAAUAAAUUUUGUUAUCAUAAAUGACAUGACUGUAAUUUUGGUUAAAAAUUCCUCUUUGUUGUUGUUUGUUUUGCACUUUAUCUUGAAUUCAAGUUCUGGUGUUUUGGUGAUGGACCGUGUAACGGUGGUUUUUAUUGACUUUAGGGAAUCCGUUUUGUUGGAACACAAGUAUGUUUGUGAUUUGAAAAAUUCCUAGAAAUCUAACAUAGGAGAGACUUCACACAAUACAAAUAAUAUAGUGGAGGUAGACCUCUUGGUGUGUGCUCUAUUGGGUACCCUGUUUUGUAAGAGGACGAUUUUGAAAAUUUUAAAAAUGAAAAUUAAAUCCUUACUUGUGUAUUGUGGAUUUAGGACAAAUCACUCUAAGCACCUUACUUGCAUCUUAAACUAUUGGUGUUUGUGGAUUUGGGAAGAUUGCAGUAUAAAGACAUUCAACAAUGCUUACAUAUAUAUCAACAAUGAAAAUUGUUCCUCAGAAAAUAAAUGGACUAGACAAUUCUAAUCUAACAAUAAAGGCAAACUAGUGCCACAAGUACAAUUUUGGUGUCAAUAUUAAUUAGAAAAUUCUACUAAGUUAGAAAAUAACUACAGAUUACAGGCUGAACUUACAUGCCAACCUCUUAUCUUGUGAGUCUGUUUCCACGUUUAAGUUCUUCCAUUAGUUGAUGUGCUACUGAUUCAUAUCCCAUUUCCCGAGCUUCAUUUCAGUCAAUCAAAGAGAUCAAGUAAGAAAAAUGUACAAGACUCAAAAGAGAUUAAGUGUUUAUAGUCCAUAAGCGUUUAUUAUAUAAAUGCAUAACUUCUUUAAGUUAUCAUGAAGAGCUUAUGAUGUAUUAUAAUAAGUUUUUUUUUUUUUUUUUUUUGCGCAUAAACUCUCAAAUAGUUUCAAAAAAGUUUAUAGUCCACCACACCAAGCCUUGAAAUUUUUUGAGGGCCAAAAUUAUUGUACGUGUGACCGCGUAAAUAUUGUUGGAAAUAUGUUCACGCUAGUUUUCAAAUUCCAGAACUCAUGCUAGUUGUAUUAGCUUAUAUACCAUAUUCUAGAUUGAAAAAAUGUUUGAAGACAAAGCAUUAGAACCACUACUUUCAUGAGAAACACGACACAAAAACCUCAUAAUGCUCAAACAAUCUUACAACAAGAGUUGCCAUAUUGUUCUUCAUAACUUUUGACUUAUUUUCACCAUNACAAACUUGAGAGCCUAGCAACAACUCAAACAUAUUAAGCAGAGUUCACCAAUCCGGAUACUUCAUCCUCUUUUCAAUGUCCUUUUGCAUUUGCAUUUUGUUGGUGUGCUGCUACUAGAUUUGUUGCUACAUGCUGUACCUACUGCUUUUGUUGCUACUUAAGUCUUAAUUUGUAUUUUGAUGUUGUUGCUACUGUUUUUGCAUUCAAUUUACAAUUAAAUCAUGUAAAAUUUUGGAUUUGCAUUCUGUUUGUUCGAGAUUUGCAUUAUAUUUGCUGAUUGCUUGCUAUAUCAUUUACAACUUCUAGAUUUUUGUGGAAAUUAUGUGUUUUAUGAAGAUUGGUACUAUUAUUAAGUUGGCUGAGCCUUCAAACGAGAAUCGUGAACGAGAGCUUCUUCAUCUUCUUCUAGCAUCAUAGCAAUGGAAAUCGGAAUUGAUUAUUUGAUAACGGUGAAACGGUUUGAAGAACGGUUAUGGAAAAUUGAACGGUAAUAGAGUAAUAGAGAGAACAUGGUUAUGCAGCACUCAAGUGAGGGGGUCUCAAAGUUACCCAUGGUUAUGGAGAAUUGUACGGAUCGAACUUUUCCAUUUUUUUCUUUUCUUUUUCUUUUUCAUUUAUUUAAUCACUAUGAUGUAUAUGUGGCUUUUUCAUGGGGGCCUCAAAGUUGCAUAAGGG
rnacentral:lncRNA from 1 species